GGUUUGAUCAAAAGUGAAAAA
ensembl:piRNA 21ur-12553 ncRNA